rnacentral:lncRNA from 1 species
UUGGGCGAUAUAAGGGGAAGGGAUCAUCUCUGGAUAUAUGAGGAGGUAUAGAAGGGUAAAGGCAGGAUAGGCAGCUGCAGCAAGAGAGAUGGUAUGUAAGGUGUCCCUGGCAACACAGAAUGCCAUGUGUGCAGGCAAAUUCCAGUGCUCCAGAGUGGAGCACAGGGGCCAAUGGGGAGAUGGUCUUCUGAUGAGGCAGGAAAUGGGGCUAGAACCAGACUAGGAAUCAAAGAGUGAGGAUAAUGGAAAUAUUGAGGUUUCCAUAGGAACAAUUUCCAUCUCUUGGGACCACACCAGCCACGGUGUAAAGGAUGGACUGUAAAAAGCAGCGGUAGAUGGUAGAAGUGAGUGCUGGAAUCUGUUGCAGGCUUCCCAGGAAUGGGAAAAAAAAAACAACAGAAAAACAAACACUUCUGAGUGCUUUCAGUCUCAAACAAAGCUUAAUACAUUAGUUGGCAGGAAAUCCAGGGUGGAAUUUGCCAUUAAUCUGUAGUAAGGCAACCCUUCAAACACCCGCACUGAACAAUCAAACACUUUUAAAUGUCAUUCCUCAACAAAAGCGUGCAUUGUCCCUGGAGAUGCCCCGGUGGCACUAACCUUUCCAGAAUGGGGAGAAUAAAUCUCUUCACUUCUCAGGUUGAGUGCUAAACGGAACUUUCUAGAGUUUCUCACCACCAGGCCUCCUGCAGGCACAUUUCAGCUCAAGGAGUCUCUUAAUGGACCAGCUUUUCUCCUCUGGUGGUGUUUUAUAUGCAGCUCUCUCUCUCUCUCUCUCUCUCUCUCUCUCUCUCUCUCUCUCUCUCUCUCUCUCUCUGUUGGGUGUGUACACAUCUGUGCCUUCUUUUCAAAAAACUGAAAUUGUUCUUCAUGAUGCCAAAGACAAGUAGAAAGUUCACCCUUCAACCCCCAUGCCUCUCGGCCUCUGGAAUGGGAUAGUUAAGAUUUAUCGAGCACUUGUUAUGCACCAGAGGCUGUUGUCUCAAUCCACAGCACACUACAGGUCUGCUUGCUGAUUCCACUCUCUAGACCAUGGUUUUGCAGCUGAUGUUCCAGUGCUGUAUUGCUAUUGUUGUUGUUACUUUGUUGCUGUGACAAAUGACCCGACAGAGAAGACUCAAAGAAAAGCACUUUCUUUGGGUUCCCAGUUUGGGGGUAGAAUCCACCAUGGCUAGAAAAGUGAUGUGACAGAAGUAUAAGGUCAGGACCCUGGUCCAUGGGCUGUGGUCACCCGUGUUCAGAAAAAGAACCAAGGAGCAAUGAGUGCCCACUGGGGUCAGUGUUAUGCCAACACUUCUGUGUUUAAGUUUCUUGACAUGUUUUGUACCAGGUGUCUUCUUGACUAAUUAUAUAUGAGGCGUCUCUAAGGACUUACCUGUCAAUAACAGACAAUAACUGGUUGGCUUACUCCUGCAGCCCAGGUGCAGGAGCCACAGCUCCGACUCUCCAGCUUCAAAAAAGGGCUGAGCACUGGGAAGUCCUUAGAUUUGAUGAGUCUCCUCCAUAUUCUCCCUCCCUCUCUUGUUUCCUCUUUCCUACUCUCUCAUUACAACAGAGAAACAGGGUAGAUAUCCCAGGCCUCAAACUUGUGACCGUUCGACUUCUGCAUUCUAAGUGCUGAGAUUACAGUGGGGCCCACUGUGCCUAGCUUCUAACGUAAUGACUGCCAGUUUGUUUGAGUAAAGAAAGUAUACUUUUAUCCACUGACUGGAUUUAUCCAGUGAUUGGGAGAACGUAAAAAUAAACGGAAGCACAUUAUCAGAGGUCAGAAGAGCGCAGCUGGAGGAGGCCUCAUGACCUUGAGGAUUUCCCUGCUCCAGCUGUCAAUCAUCUUCUCUGACUCCCACGACACUGGAAAACACACACUCAAUGUGACAGGUGUCUGCUGGGUACGCCUAUGACAGACAGUUGGGAAAGCUGCCUUCCCAGCCAUGGGAAUUUGGCAUUUCCCUGACUUCGUCUGCUCUUCUUCCAAAUCCCCAAAGCAUCUAAGUUCAGAGGCCUCCCAGGGAGUUAGUUUGUACAUGAGCCAAAGUUACGUAAGGUUAUGAGACAGAAGAAAGGCUGCGUGAAGCCGGACUGAGUGUGACACAAUCGUGAGGGAGCUGCUACAGGAGGCGGGGGCCCAGCCCCAGCUUGAAUGGAAGGGAGGUGAACCUCCACCUCUUUCACGGGAACUGCCUUGGAUGUGAUCUCAGGCCCUCUCAAGGGACCGGAGUGGAGACCUGGCACUGCUGAUGGGAACAAUGGGCUCUUGGAGGAUAUCCUUGGGCAGUGGGCGGGGCUGUGAGGGGUCGUAGCCUCCCUGCUCCACCUGGAAACAGGGCUGGCUGGCUGGCUUGGAGGUUAAGAGAAUUUGCUGGUUUUUCUGGAGGAAGUGAGUUGGCGUCCCAGCACCCAUGUCAAGUGAUUCACAACCUCCUGUGUCCCCAGCUAUAGAGGAGCUGACAGCCAUUAAAGGUACAUACACUAAAAUAAACAGUAAAAUAAAUCUUAAAAAGCAAACCUAACCUGUUAUCAGUCAUAUAUGCAAGUCAGUCCACAUUAUGCUAUUGGACUUGGGAUGUUCUCUUUCUGGGGUUGGAAGAUAACUGUAGUUUCUGGGAGCAACUUCUAAUUGAAGACAUGUUUGCAAAUAUACUGUGUGUUACCAGUGUUUACUCCAACAGGCACUUAGGCUCAGUAAGUCUUACGGUGUGUCCUGUUGGAGCACGCCAGCAGACAGCCGACCCACCAGCCACAUUUCAUUAUGACUGGCUGCACUGAACUGCUCACAGCAGUGAGUGGGGAGUUCAAGGAAAUGGGUCCUCAUCCUCCUUUUGCCCAGAGAGGCUAAACUCUACCCAUCUUCCUCUUACUUCAGAAAAAGCAGCAGAGGUAACCACAAAUUGUCCUAAAUGGGGUCCAGAGGGAACAAGCCCAGGCCACUCCUCCCCAGUGAUUUCUUGGGUCCUUCUCUGCGUUUUCCUCAUUUUACUGAUUGCAAGUGCCUUCUUCUGCAGACGUCUCACCCCAAUGUCAGGAGUGCUUAGCCGUGAAGAGAGGCAGGUGCCAGGGUAGAAUGGGUGAUAUUAACAUGUUCUUAUCAAUCAUCAAAGGUAGGCUGUGGCAAGGGGGAAUUGUACUUCCAAGUCUCUUCUUGAGAAAGACUGAAUCAUUCCACAGCUUCAGGUAGGUUGCAGAUCCUUCCAGACAUGUUACUCAUGGGAAGCCAUCUUCCUCGAGAUCACACAUUCCACAGGUACCCAGACAAAGAGCACCUACUGAGGAAUUUCCUAUGAACCACUGUUUGAACUUGUCCCCCAGGAUAUGAAGCCAGAGGUGCAACUAGUCAGAAAAGGCAGAGGCUGAGCUUAGGAAAGCUUCAAGUGAUACAGGUUGUGGGUCUGUGUGUUUUGUUUGUCUACAACAAGAGGAUAGGAGCAAACUAAGUGAAGCAGAAAGAAUGGCAGCUGAAGUGGGGGAAGUCAACUAUCCCACCUGUACUGGCUGGUUAUACGUAUUUUAGAGGCUAGAGAGAUGGCUCAGUGGUUAAGAGCAGUUAUUGCUCUUGCAGAGGAUCUCGAGUUCCCUUUCCAACAUCCACAUAGUGGCUCACAACAAUCUGUAACUCCAGUUUUAGGGAAUCUGAACCCCCUUUCGUGCCUCCAUUGACACCAGACACUCCUGUGGUAUAGAUACAUACAUACAUGUAAACAAACACUGAUACACAUAAAACCAGUCUAGAAAAGUUUUUUUUUAAUUUAAAUCCUUUCAUAUAUUCUUUUACUUGUAUUUCUAAUGAUCCUAAGAAGCAGCUACCAUUGUUAUUCCAAUUUUAUAGAUAAGAGAGUUAAGACUUGACCAAGUUAAGAAACUUGUGUCUGGUCCAAGAGCUGUGAAACUUAGCCACAGGUGCUGCAGACUCCCUCGGGGACAAACAAAGUGGAGAGCGGACAGAGGACAGUUGCUAAGUUCAGAAGGGUUGUGACCUGUCACCAGGACUUCCUUUGGAUCAAGUCAAACCUCUGCAAGCCCAGAUCAACUACUGUGAAGCAGCCAGGCUAAGCAGCCGCACUGUGGAAAGCAGCCUCGGCACAAAGCAGGGCAGGCACAGUUUUGAAUCCAGCGUCACCUGCUUGCAGCAUAACUUCUCAGAAAAGCAUCUUCUGUCAAGCAGCUCGGAACACAGAAUCACCGGUAGCUCCCAAGGGCUGGAGAGACCUACCCCUUCCUCCCAAGCUCUGGGAUUAAAGCUACUCACCACCACAGCAGGCUUUAAGGU